AGUGAACGCUGGCGGUAGGCCUAACACAUGCAAGUCGAACGGCAGCACAGUAAGAGCUUGCUCUUACGGGUGGCGAGUGGCGGACGGGUGAGGAAUACAUCGGAAUCUACUUUUUCGUGGGGGAUAACGUAGGGAAACUUACGCUAAUACCGCAUACGACCUACGGGUGAAAGCAGGGGAUCUUCGGACCUUGCGCGAUUGAGUGAGCCGAUGUCGGAUUAGCUAGUUGGCGGGGUAAAGGCCCACCAAGGCGACGAUCCGUAGCUGGUCUGAGAGGAUGAUCAGCCACACUGGAACUGAGACACGGUCCAGACUCCUACGGGAGGCAGCAGUGGGGAAUAUUAGACAAGGGGCGCAAGCCUGAUCCAGCCAUACCGCGUGGGUGAAGAAGGCCUUCGGGUUGUAAAGCCCUUUUGUUGGGAAAGAAAAGCAGCAGGUUAAUACCCCGCUGUUCUGACGGUACCCAAAGAAUAAGCACCGGCUAACUUCGUG
rnacentral:rRNA from 1 species